GUCUUAGGUUUAUUUUCGCUAUAGCAAGAAUUGGGACCAAAUGCAAAAACGAGAUGGGCAAUUGAGGUAGUUGACAUUUGAUGAAAAUGAUAUUGUCCCCCUUAAAUGAAAGUUCCGUUUCCCCCUUCAAGAUCUUUAUCGAAUUUAGACAACUCUUAUCCCAACUUGAGUUGUUUUCAUAUUUAGCCUCCAGAGGUAACUUGAGAUUACGCCACUAGACC
rnacentral:lncRNA from 1 species